AUUAACUCCGGUUGAUCCUGCCGGCGGCCACUGCUAUCAGGUUUCGACUAAGCCAUGCGAGUCUAGGGGUCGCAAGACCCCGGCGUACCGCUCAGUAACACGCGGAUAAUCUACCCCCAGGUGAGGUAUAACCUCGGGAAACUGAGGAUAAUCCCUCAUAGUUAUCAUAUGCUGGAAUGCUUUGAUGAUGAAAGCCUUUACGCCUGAGGAUGAGUCUGCGGCCUAUCAGGUCGUAUGUGAUGUAAAGGACCACAUAGCCUAGGACGGGUACGGGCCCUGAAAGGGGGAGCCCGGAGAUGGACUCUGAGACACAAGUCCAGGCCCUACGGGGCGCAGCAGGCGCGAAAACUGUGCAAUGCGCGAAAGCGCGACACGGGAAACCUGAGUGCCUUGACAUUGUCAAGGCUUUUCUUAAGCCUAAAAAGCUUAAGGAAUAAGAGCUGGGCAAGACGGGUGCCAGCCGCCGCGGUAACACCCGCAGCUCGAGUGGUGGUCACUUUUAUUGAGCCUAAAGCGUUUGUAGCCGGUUUUGCAAAUCUUCAGAUAAAUUCCUCUGCUUAACAGAUGAUCUUCUGAAGAGACUGCGAGACUUGGGACCGGGUGAGGUUGAAGGUACUUCCGGGGUAGGGGUAAAAUCCUGUAAUCCUGGAAGGACGACCGGUGGCGAAGGCGUUCAACUAGAACGGAUCCGACGGUGAGGAACGAGGGCUAGGGUAGCAAACCGGAUUAGAUACCCGGGUAGUCCUAGCUGUAAACACUGCCCACUUGGUGUUGCCCCUCCGAUGAGGGGAGGCAGUGCCGGAGCGAAGGUGUUAAGUGGGCCGCUUGGGGAGUAUGGUCGCAAGGCUGAAACUUAAAGGAAUUGGCGGGGGAGCACCGCAACGGGAGGAGCGUGCGGUUU
rnacentral:rRNA from 1 species